GAAUUAACGAGCAAAAAACUUAACAAAACGAAUUUUAGCUAAGUAACCCGAAACCAGACGAGCUACUUAUAGACAGUUUAUUAGAACCAACUCAUCUAUGUGGCAAAAUAGUGAGAAGAUCCAUAAGUAGAGGUGACAUGCCUAACGAGCCUGGUGAUAGCUGGUUGUCCAGAAAAUGAAUUUUAGUUCAGCUUUAAAGAUACCAAAAAUACAAAUAAAUCCCACUGUAUCUUCAAAAGUUAGUCUAAAAAGGUACAGCCUUUUAGAAAUGGGUACAACCUUCACUAGAGAGUAAGAUCU
rnacentral:ncRNA from 1 species